rnacentral:misc_RNA from 1 species
GUGGUGUUUGGAUCGUCCCUGCCGGCUGGCUCCGUGCCCGUCCACCGAACGGUCGGCAGGCGAUCCGCGUCGUUCUCGCUGGGUGGUAUGGUUCCCCAGAGGCCGGUUCUUGUGCUGCCUACCCCUUCAGGGGAAGCGGGCCGCUUGAUGCAAAGCCUCCAUCCGGCGCCCUCCAACGGGCGCAGGAGGACAACGUAGCACCCCCCGCGUUCCACCGAGCCCCCGUCGGUCGAGUGGCGCGCGGGGACGUGCGAUGCUCUCGGACCCAGCGAACGCCGUGGGCGAGGACUCACGUCCCAGUCCCGAUAGAAGCUCCCACAUAGUGCUGACGGCCGCUCACGUCCCCCGACCGCCCCGGCGGCGCGGGGGCGGGGCGCGGCGUCGCGGAGGAAUGCUACCU